rnacentral:tRNA from 1 species
CAGGGAGACAACAAAAUGUUUAAUAUUAUUAUUUUGUCACCUUAGGUCGAUCGGUAUCUCACGUUCUUAAUUUGUUAAGAAUUUCAUUUCCUAAGUUUUUCUAGGUCACACCCAUUAUUUUCCUGGGCCAUUAGCUCAGGUGGUUAGAGCGCACCCCUGAUAAGGGUGAGGUCCCUGGUUCAAGUCCAGGAUGGCCCAUAUCUCUAUGUUGGGGGUAUAGCUCAGUUGGUAGAGCGCCUGCUUUGCAAGCAGGAUGUCAGCGGUUCGAGUCCGCUUACCUCCACUGAUUGCCACCUCUUCCAUAACCGGUAGAAAGGAAAUGUUUUGAGUCGUGAUCAUUAUUCUGAACGAAUCUAGCUUCCUAAUGAAAUCAUUAAGAUGCUGGACUCAUUGAAUUAAUUUCAUUGUUUUCAGAGAACCUUGACAACUGCAUAGAUUAUUUUUAAAGACAAUAAGCAUCUUUAAUGAUGCAGAUUUAUUAUUCGUGCGAAUGCAUUAAUAACAAUUCUAUUAAGCUGAUGCUUCAAUUUUUGAAGUUAUU